UACGUAGGGUGCGAGCGUUGUCCGGAAUUACUGGGCGUAAAGAGCUCGUAGGUGGUUUGUCGCGUUGUCCGUGAAAACUCACAACUCAAUUGUGGGCGUGCGGGCGAUACGGGCAGACUGGAGUACUGCAGGGGAGACUGGAAUUCCUGGUGUAGCGGUGGAAUGCGCAGAUAUCAGGAGGAACACCGGUGGCGAAGGCGGCCUUCUGGACGGAUACUGACGCUGAGGCGCGAAAGCCAGGGGAGCAAACGGG
rnacentral:rRNA from 1 species